rnacentral:misc_RNA from 1 species
GAAAUGCGAUACGUAGUGUGAAUUGCAGAUUUUCGUGAAUCAUCGAAUCUUUGAACGCAAAUUGCGGUUUCAGGUAACUCCUGGGACCAUGCCUGGUUGAGUGUCACAAAAACCUAGUCAUACUUGCCUUGUGUGAGUGUGGUCUCAAUGAGGGUCACGGUGCUUAUGUGUCGGGUCCCUUUGAAUAAAGACUGGUCAGCUACUUGCAAUUGGACCGACCUAGAUGCGGUGAUUCGUUUGCAAAAACGAUUUCAACAUCUGGUUGUUUCCAUUAUUUGCAUGUAUGCAUAGCCAUUCAUGUGACAAUUUAAGGCUUGACCUCAACUCAGGUAAGGCUACCCGCUGAAUUUAA